rnacentral:sRNA from 1 species
AGAGAUUUACAUGGAUUAGUAGAUCGAAAACGCCUUAGGAUUAUUCUUAGAGUUCUUCAUCUUGAUUAUUCUUAUUGCUAGUUUUAGAUUGAUCACCUAGAACUUGAC